UUAAAACAAACGUUCAACAAUGAUUCAUAUUCAACACGCUAUGUCCGACCAUUGAUCUUUACUUUGCGUACCAACGGUUUCUUAAGAUCAAUACAAAGAGCUAAGCGCGCAAACUUACCCCUCCUGGCAAAGUCUAUGUGAGUGUCUAGUUUCACAACCAGGCCAAUAGCUUGCCUGAUGGCACGAAGCAAAAAAUCGGAGUAAUAAUAGCCUUCUGGUAAACCUGGUAGUCUUAUCCAAUACAUCAAUU
rnacentral:lncRNA from 1 species